UCUAUGAACUCUGAACCCUACGGGCAUGGAAUAAUGAGUAAGGAAAGGAUGUAACGAUAGAUUUGAUCCUACUGUACAUUGAUAAUCAUGUGAAAGGUGUUUCAUGUGUAAGAAUAAAUUGUAUCAGGGGACAAAUAUGAGGUUGUUGGGAACGUGGGCAGAUUAUUUAAAAUCAUACCUGAUAUUGGGCUUUAUCUGACAAGAGCAAUUGUAACUCACAGGCGACAAAUUGAACAAACACGGAAACAGCUGCAGCAGGCAGAACUCACCUUUAGAUACCAGAUCGCAGUUCAUGAGAAGAAUGCUCAGGACAACUAGAUCAAGACUCAGAUCUGGGACAGGGAGAUGGCGGAGCAGGGCAGGGAUGUCGCUUACUUGAAAUACAGACUGGACAGGAUGGAAGCAAAGAGGCUACCUGAGGGAUACACGAGACAGAAACCAAUGGCUGCAAGACCAGAGACGCAGAACCUUCCAAGGAGAGGGCAGUCUGGAUCCUGGGGACCUCCUCCGUUAACUGGACAAUUCUGCAUGCCCUACCCUAGAAAUGCCCCACCCCCAUGGACUAUUAGGCACAUCCACCUCCUGAACCUUGGUGGCCCUGGGGCCACCCAAAACCCCUCCACCUACAACACUUGGGCUUUUUGCAGGUCCAGGAGCAGGUGUCACACCCAACAGUGACAUCGACACUGGCUCUGCCAAAACUGCCGAGAAGCACAAGGCUAUUUUGUAUGCAAGAGGGACUGGUCCUUCCUAGGAUCGCCUUGCAGGCUGAACCCCGUGGACCACCCUUCACCACCAUUCAUGGGCUAUGGGCCAGCUCCCCCUCCUCCACCAGCUCCUCCACAUACUAUAUUUGUUAAGAUGACCUGAACUGGAUGAGUGGCUGGACUCUUUUGAAAUUUGAAGAGGACUGUGCAUGGUGACAGACUAUCAUGUUUGUAUAUACAUUUUAAGAAAGUGUCAGAUCUACCUGAAUGCUUUCCAUGCCCAUCCUGUCCCCUCCACUUUGUCCUUCCUACUGUCCCCUAAUCCACCUUUCAUUGUUAUGUCUCUGUGUCAGUGUCUGCUUCUAGGACCAUCUACUCUCACCAUUGGUGCACACAGUGGGGUUCCUGUACACACAGGUAACAAACUGGCAGAAAUGGUGGAGGGAGUUUUCUGGGGUGAUGGGAACUUCCUAUAUCUAGAUUGAUGGGGUGCUUAUGCUUAUUUAUUUUGGAAAUAUUCCCUGAGUCCAUGGUGCCUUGGGGUCAGAUAGGUAUCUGUCCUUAGGAAAUGGCUGAGUUCUAAUGGUGGAGAAGGAUGAGGGACCAGCAGUGACUGUGGUAGAGAAGUGAGGGUCAGACCCCCGCCCAGGAUGCCAGGUCUCCACAGACAGCACCACGUGUAGGAGGACUCUGAGGAGCAGAGAUUUCUUGAUCAGACCCAUGGACUACAUAAUCAUCCUGCAGUUUCCUCACUGAGUGAUGGCCAGAGCAGAAGGACAGCAGCUGGAGGACACCCUGAUCAUGGCUGGAGUGGAGCAGUGGGCCUGGGGGAUUGAGUCAGGGAAAGGGACAGGCAGAAGGUAGCAACAGGGAGUUUGGGAAGAGAAGAGAAGGGACCCUUCUCUGCUGACUUCACCUACAUUUCUGUGUGACCAAAAGGACAUACUUGUCUCCUAGGGAAGGGAAGAGGGCUGGAAAAAAGAGUGACAUUCUCAGCUUAAGUGCCCAGGGUAUCUGCCUUGCCCUUGAGUACCUAACACAGGAAGCACGUGCUUUCUCUCAUGAUUGGAACCGCAGUUCGUACCAUUUAGUGAAAAGCAAUCCAAUUAUGAAUCCCUCAGCAUUAAAGUACUGCAAAAAAGUUAACAGACUGAAAGAUAUAACACAGGAUAAAGUCCAAAGGUAGACCGACUACAAUACUUACGGGAAUACAGUCUAUCAAAAAAGGAGGUAGGUACCCCAGUGCAGUCAUUCAGACACCUGGGCAAUAUCUGAAAACGUAAAAAAAAAAAAAUGUAGUCCUUACUUCAAAAGCAACAUUAGUGCUAGACACAAAGGGAUCAAGAGAGAAAGCAUGUGACUUCAUGGUGCUGUACCCAUGAGAUAAAGUCUCAUCAAAUUAUACCCUUUAAAUUGAGUCUACUUGUUAUAUGCAAAUUAUACCUCAUUAAAAAGAGUUUCAAAACAUAAAAUACUAGAAGCAAGUGUGGGAACAUUCCUUUCUAAUCCUGAAGUGCAUGGGUGAUAUGAGUAUGUCUGCCCAUGUCUCAAAAAUCCAAACUAAUAAGACACUUAAAAAAUCAGUAAUAGCAGAGUAAGAGGACCCUGUGCUCACCCUGUCCCAUGUGUUCAAGUACAUAACAUUCACAUCCAAGUCCAUGAACCAGAGAACGAUCCAAAGACUGGCAGAACAAAUUCCACACCUAAAUAGAAGCUGCAUCAGAAAGGUGGAGUCUGGCUGCCUGCAGAAGGGGCAGAAAAAGUGAGCCCUCACACCAGGGAAGACUAAUCUCCGUAACAUUGGGCAUUAAAACCCAGAGGGGCUGAAUUCCCUUGAGUUUACAUCCUGGAGUUUUGGAGGUCAGCUGACCCAGCACUGGGUGA